rnacentral:rRNA from 1 species
UACAGGGGGUGCAAACGUUGCUCGGAAUCAUUGGGCGUAAAGCGCACGUAGGCGGUCUGUUAUGUCGGAUGUGAAAGCCCUUGGCUUAACUGAGGAAGUGCAUCCGAAACUGGCAGGCUAGAGUACUAAAGAGGGUCGCGGAAUUCCCGGUGUAGAGGUGAAAUGCGUAGAUAUCUGGAGGAACACCGGUGGCGAAGGCGGCAUCCUGGACCAACACUGGCGGUGAGUGAGCGAAAGCCAGGGGAGCAAACGGG